rnacentral:tRNA from 1 species
UGGAAUUUAGCUCAGUAGGUAGAGCGUCUGGCUGUUAACCAGAAUGUCGCAGGUUCGAGCCCUGUAGUUCCAG